GAUGAACGCUGGCGGCGUGCCUAAUACAUGCAAGUCGAGCGAACGGACGAGAAGCUUGCUUUUCUGACGUUAGCGGCGGACGGGUGAGUAACACGUGGAUAACCUACCUAUAAGACUGGGAUAACUUCGGGAAACCGGAGCUAAUACCGGCUAAUAUUUUGAACCGCAUGGUUCCAAAGUGAAAGACGGUCUUGCUGUCACUUAUAGAUGGAUCCGCGCUGCAUUAGCUAGUUGGUAAGGUAACGGCUUACCAAGGCAACGAUGCAUAGCCGACCUGAGAGGGUGAUCGGCCACACUGGAACGGAGACACGGUCCAGACUCCUACGGGAGGCAGCAGUAGGGAAUCUUCCGCAAUGGGCGGAAGCCUGACGGAGCAACGCCGCGUGAGUGAUGAAGGUCUUCGGAUCGUAAAACUCUGUUAUUAGGGAAGAACAUAUGUGUAAGUAACUGUGCACAUCUUGACGGUACCUAAUCAGAAAGCCACGGCUAACUACGUG
rnacentral:rRNA from 1 species